AUUUUUACUCUGCCACAUCAAAGGGCUAAAAGAACCUUCACGCAACCAAAACGCUCACACUUCUGACACUGUAUAUAACUGAUACAUCUGACUCGCCAGCUAUAAGUGUAAAACUCAAUAAUCGUUGUAAAUAAAGUAAUUUAUGGCAGAACAGGAAGUAUGUAGCUUCAGCUGCUUUUGAUAUUGUUAGUCAUUUUGUAAGGCCUGCCUCUUAUGCUAUGUUCGUCUGAUGUGUUAAAAUCACACUCACGGUUGUUACCUCAAAGCUGUCAACAGCUCGACACAUCAGAACAGGCACGCAUAUACGUUGCAACUGACAAACAAAGCCAACGAUUAUAUGCAUAUAUUAUUGCGCUUGUAGUUUGUGUGUGAAGCUCAAGUUUCCUGUGGGGAAAUCAUGGUGGAUAUAUAUAGCAUUCUACAGAAUGCUGUAGUCAGUGUAUAUGGACAGUAACUGCCUCCACAGCAUACAGCCUUUUCUAAAUGGCCGUUUUUAUCAUUUCAUUUGACCUGAGUUUGCUGAACUCACACAUAACAUCCUUAUUUUUUAAUUUUAGGAACAUUUGGGUGUCAAUGUCUUUCACUUUAGAACAUUUCAGCUCUUUAAGUUGGUGCUCUUUGUUGUUUUAAAGAGUUUUCUGCUUUUAUCUGCGUAAUUGUAAUGAACUUGAGAGGAUUUGCUUGUAGCAUGCUGCAAUUGCUUAAGCGUGUCACCUCUCUCCUGCAUUUUGUGCGCCUCAUGGCUGAUUUGUUACGUUCUGAACCAAUGUUCUGAACUGUUCUGUUGUCAGUGAAUGACUGUUUGUUUUCAGAUGAAGCGGUUUAGAAAAGCCUUGAAGAUCAGUCAAUGUUCACUACCGCUCUUGGUGUCGCUCUGAUAUGUACCGAUGAUGUCAUGGAUGCCCACAAGUCGACACAUUGAAUGUUCUGUUCGGGUGGGCAUUUUGGGAGUCGCCCCCUCACGUUACUACAUGCCAAGCUCAGUGACCUGAUAUCAGCUUAUAUCAUGAUCAAAUUGAUUUUAAUUGAAAUACGAGGCUGUAUGAGCUCAGCGCUGAUGGCAGGGGGUUAUUCUUCAUGCCUGACGCUGACGCUGCCGCAGGAGCGCUCAACAACCUGGAGGCAGAGCGAAAACUGGACCAUUACAUCAUUGCUAUGGGAUAGAACGAUGCCCCGCCCCCACCUUCCAUUGGCGGAGCUACCUGGUCUCACAUUUCCAUUGGUUAAUGACAGCGUAACGGGAAGCAGUGAGGGGGCGUGGCCUCGGCGUGUAAGGGCGCUUCAAAUACACUGUAAAAGAUGCAUAAGGGAGCGAUGCUGAUGCUGGUGAUGCGAGAAUAAUUUCUCACCGGGGGCAAGCUUUCGAAUGGACCGAGAGGGUGAUGAUGGACUUCACGUUUAGGAUAAAAUAAGCAAACGCAAAAUCGAAUCAACUGCCUAGAGCAGAAGCGAACAUUUACUCAAAUUGCAACAUAAUAGAAGAGAAAUAGGUGAGAGGGAGUCCCUGGAUCGGAUCCAUCCUACAAUCGCUGGAGGUAAGGGCGUUUCUGAAAGCAUCUCUUUGGCAUUCGCGGUUUCAGUUCAGAAGUUACAAACUUACAAACUGCUGGUAAUGCUAAAAGACAAUAAAACCUCUAAAUGUGCUGUAUAUUAAGAGUUG
ensembl:lncRNA